rnacentral:piRNA from 1 species
UCCCAGAUGUGUGCCCACCCCACCACUGC